UACGUAGGGUCCGAGCGUUGUCCGGAAUUACUGGGCGUAAAGAGCUCGUAGGUGGUUUGUCGCGUUGUUCGUGAAAACUCACAGCUCAACUGUGGGCGUGCGGGCGAUACGGGCAGACUGGAGUACUGCAGGGGAGACUGGAAUUCCUGGUGUAGCGGCGGAAUGCGCAGAUAUCAGGAGGAACACCGGUGGCGAAGGCGGGUCUCUGGGCAGUAACUGACGCUGAGGAGCGAAAGCGUGGGGAGCGAACAGG
rnacentral:rRNA from 1 species